UACAGAGGGUGCGAGCGUUAAUCGGAAUUACUGGGCGUAAAGCGCACGUAGGCGGCUUGGUAUGUCGGGUGUGAAAUCCCCGGGCUCAACCUGGGAACUGCAUCCGAAACUGCCUUGCUAGAGUAUGGGAGAGGGAAGUGGAAUUUCCGGUGUAGCGGUGAAAUGCGUAGAUAUCUGGAGGAAUACCGGUGGCGAAGGCGGCAUCCUGGACCGAGAUUGACGCUGAUGAGCGAAAGCUAGGGGAGCAAACGGG
rnacentral:rRNA from 1 species